GAAAUUAUAUCAUCACAAUUGCAAACCAUGAUUUUGUGUUCACACCAGCUUCCACAAUCUUACAGAGGAGAGCAUUUAUGGGAAUCAUCCAUGGGUAACCGACGACGAGGAAUUACAAUAUGUGAAGGAUUUCCACCAGUUUGAAUGAAACGAAUUGGAAUGAGCUACUAUUUCUGACAUAUGAAAAAAUUGCCAUUUUUUGCCUGUUUCCAAAUAUGUGCAAGAAGUAUACAGGGAUUGAAAGCUGAGAAAGAGACAAAAAUCCCUUUCCAUUGUUACAUAUUAUAUGACAGUGAGGCUAUCAAUAGUGUAAUAAUGAUAAACAUGUGAAGUGUUUGCUAAUAAAACAUGAUAAAUUUUC